UACGAAGGGGGCUAGCGUUGCUCGGAAUCACUGGGCGUAAAGGGUGCGUAGGCGGGUCUUAAGUCAGGGGUGAAAUCCUGGAGCUCAACUCCAGAACUGCCUUUGAUACUGAAGAUCUUGAGUUCGGGAGAGGUGAGUGGAACUGCGAGUGUAGAGGUGAAAUUCGUAGAUAUUCGCAAGAACACCAGUGGCGAAGGCGGCAUCCUGGACCGACAUUGACGCUGAGGAGCGAAAGCCAGGGGAGCAAACGGG
rnacentral:rRNA from 1 species